UCUGGUGACUAUAGCAAGGAGGUCACACCUGUUCCCAUGCCGAACACAGAAGUUAAGCUCCUUAGCGUCGAUGGUAGUCGAACUUACGUUGCGCUAGAGUAGAACGUUGCCAGGC
rnacentral:rRNA from 1 species